rnacentral:rRNA from 1 species
GGAAGUAAAAGUCGUAACAAGGUUUCCGUAGGUGAACCUGCGGAAGGAUCAUUAUUGAAUUUAAUAGUGGUAGUGCUGAUGCUGGUGGUCAAACACAUGUGCUCGCUCUGCCACUUAUUAACAUUUCCACCUGUGAACUAUUGUAGAUGUUGAAGGUCACCUCUCAAGCUUUCAGCAAUGAUAUGCUUGGUCUGGCGUUUGCGGGCUUCAUUCAGUUGAAGUCGGCUCUCGCUGCGAACUUCAACAUCUAUCCUUACAUAUACCCAUUAACAAAAAGUAACAAGAAGGACUUGAUUGGGCUUCAUUGCCUAUAAAUCAAUUAUACAACUUUCAGCAACGGAUCUCUUGGCUCUCGCAUCGAUGAAGAACGCAGCGAAUUGCGAUAAGUAAUGUGAAUUGCAGAAUUCAGUGAAUCAUCGAAUCUUUGAACGCACCUUGCGCUCUUUGGUAUUCCGAAGAGCAUGCCUGUUUGAGUGUCAUUAAAUUCUCAACCCACUUCAUUUUGUUUAUUCAAGUGAAGUGCGUGUUGGAUGUGGGGGUUGCGGGCUUCAUUCAGUUGAAGUCGGCUCCCCUGAAAUGCAUUAGCAGGAAUCUUUGUUGUGCUGCUUCUAUUGGGUGUGAUAAUUAUCUACGCUUAGGAAGUGGCUGACACUAGGACUUGGUCAAACAAGUCGGGGUUCCGCUUCUAAUAGUCCAUUCACUUGGACAAUACUACUUGACAUUUGACCUCAAAUCAGGUAGGACUACCCGCUGAACUUAAGCAUAUCAAUAAGCGGAGGA